rnacentral:rRNA from 1 species
CGCAUCUUGCGCCCCUUGGUAUUCCGAGGGGCACACCCGUUUGAGUGUCGUGAAAUUCUCAAACCUUCUGGGUUUCUCGAUCAAGAUGGCUUUGGACUUUGGAGGCAUUUUGCUGGCUUUGCGAAAAGCCAGCUCCUCUUAAAUACAUUAGUGGGGUCCCCUUUGCCGAUCCCCAGGCGUGAUAAGAUGUUUCUACGUCUCGGGAUUUGCUCUGUUCCUUGGGAACCCGCUUAUAACCGUCUCAUGGGAGACAUCGUUCGAGCAUGCUCGACCCACGAACCUUGACCUCAAAUCGGGUGAGACUACCCUGCUGAACUUAAGCAUAUCAAUAAGCGGAGGAAAAGAAACUAACAAGGAUUCCCCUAGUAACUGCGAGUGAAGCGGGAAAAGCUCAAAUUUAAAAUCUGGUGGCCUUUGGUCAUCCGAGUUGUAAUUUAGAGAA